CUUCAGCCUCCAUAGGGGCAUCUGCAUCCACAUUGCCUUCCUCCUGAAGACCCUGCUGAAGAUGGAGGAGCCGGUACUGGUGCUAUCCCCUUGGGGCCACCUCUACCACUGGCAGAGCCCCGACAUCAACCAGGUCUGGAUUCCCUGGUCCGACUCCUUUGACCUCCCAAGUCUCAACAGAAACAUCCCUGACAUUGAGUAUGAGCAGUUCAUUGCAUGGUUCACUUGGUGAUAAUAAUAGUAACCAAAGCAAUAGCAAACCCUUACAUAACUCUGUCCUGCUGUUCCAGGAAUGCUGUGUUCAUGACAACCCAAUGAGGUGGCACCAUUAUGAGUUCCACUUUAAAGUGCCUGCCACCCUGGCCUCCCUGCUCAUCUGCCUCAGUCAGGAGCACCUUGACCAGCAGCUCUGUAUUGCCUCGCCUCCUACCAUCAAGACGUCAAUGUUCAUUCUCCCUCCACCACCCAGUUUGGUCAUUUUAGGGUCUUCUUCUCCAUCAGCCUGAGCCAGCCACCCCCCAUUCACCCUACCCCCAGGCUCAUACCCGGGCAUGUCUCCACCACGGGUCCAGCCUCUCUCCUUUAAGUGCCCACCUCUAGCCGCCCAGCUGCUUCUCCACCAGCCUCCCUGGCCCUCCUUCACCCUCACUGGGGCAUCAAGCGCUGACUCCUCUGCUUUCCUACCUGUCCACGUUCCUCUUACUUCCACUUCCCCACCUUCCAGCUCUGCAUUCACAGUCAGCACUC